rnacentral:rRNA from 1 species
GACGAACGCUGGCGGCGUGCUUAACACAUGCAAGUCGAACGGAAAGGCCCUGCUUUUGUGGGGUGCUCGAGUGGCGAAAGGGUGAGUAACACGUGAGUAACCUGCCCUUGACUUUGGGAUAACUUCAGGAAACUGGGGCUAAUACCGGAUAGGAGCUCCUGCUGCAUGGUGGGGGUUGGAAAGUUUCGGCGGUUGGGGAUGGACUCGCGGCUUAUCAGCUUGUUGGUGGGGUAGUGGCAUACCAAGGCUUUGACGGGUCGCCGGCCUGAGAGGGUGACCGGCCACAUUGGGACUGAGAUACGGCCCAGACUCCUACGGGAGGCAGCAGUGGGGAAUAUUGCACAAUGGGCGGAAGCCUGAUGCAGCAACGCCGCGUGCGGGAUGACGGCCUUCGGGUUGUAAACCGCUUUCGCCUGUGACGAAGCGUGAGUGACGGUAAUGGGUAAAGAAGCACUGGCUAACUACGUG